AGAGUUUGAUCAUGGCUCAGAACGAACGCUGGCGGCAGGCUUAACACAUGCAAGUCGAACGCACCGCAAGGUGAGUGGCAGACGGGUGAGUAACGCGUGGGAACGUGCCCUUCAGUUCGGGAUAACCCAGGGAAACUUGGGCUAAUACCGGAUACGUGCGAGAGCAGAAAGAUUCAUCGCUGAAGGAUCGGCCCGCGUCUGAUUAGCUAGUUGGUAGGGUAAUGGCCUACCAAGGCGACGGUCAGUAGCUGGUCUGAGAGGAUGAUCAGCCACAUUGGGACUGAGACACGGCCCAAACUCCUACGGGAGGCAGCAGUGGGGAAUAUUGGACAAUGGGCGCAAGCCUGAUCCAGCCAUGCCGCGUGAGUGAUGAAGGCCUUAGGGUUGUAAAGCUCUUUCGGCGGGGACGAUAAUGACGGUACCCGCAGAAGAAGCCCCGGCUAACUUCGUGCCAGCAGCCGCGGUAAUACGAAGGGGGCUAGCGUUGUUCGGAAUCACUGGGCGUAAAGGGCGCGUAGGCGGCCUGAUAAGUCGGGGGUGAAAGCCUGUGGCUCAACCACAGAAUUGCCUUCGAUACUGUCGGGCUUGAGACCGGAAGAGGUCAGUGGAACUGCGAGUGUAGAGGUGAAAUUCGUAGAUAUUCGCAAGAACACCAGUGGCGAAGGCGGCUGACUGGUCCGGUUCUGACGCUGAGGCGCGAAAGCGUGGGGAGCAAACAGGAUUAGAUACCCCCGUAGUCC
rnacentral:rRNA from 2 species